AUUUCGGUACCACAGCUGCGGGCCGGGGCUGGAGGAGCCCCAGGUGCGGGCAGUGAGGCUGAUGGCGACGGCCCCUCCCUGGGAAGGGGGGGCUGCCGGGGGAGGGGCCGCGGCGGGGCCGGUGGGAGCCCAGGCAGGAGCGGAGCAGAGCAGAGCAGUGGCCGGGCUGCGGCUGCCCCUCGGGAGAAGAGGCCACGCUGUGGGUGCGGUUGUCCGUUCGUCCCCUGGGGAUGCCGUUGACUGCAGCAGCCUCAGGCUUGCGUGGGCUGUCUCUGCCUGGCCUCCCUCUCCUUGCGGCGCGGGAGCACAGAGGGACAGGUGGAGCGCUUACUGGCUGUGGACAGGAGCUGCUGAAGCUGGAGAGGCCACAGAAUGGUAAAGCUGCUGAAGAAUAAAAUAAAGAGGAUCCAGCCACCAGCUGCAGACAGGAGAUAGCCUGCCUCUCCAGGUGGAUGACAGUCAAGUGAGUGCAGCUACAGAGGAGGAAGGGAGAGGGAGACAGACAUGUCUGAACUGUCAAAUUCUCCCAGCAGCUCCAACAGCGGGAGGUACAGUGAGUCCUGGACCCCUGGGGCUGUGUCACCCCUCUUCUGCAUCCCAGUCCCUCCCUGCCCCCACCUUCUCUU